rnacentral:rRNA from 1 species
AUUGAACGCUGGCGGCAGGCCUAACACAUGCAAGUCGAGCGCGCGCCGGACGGGUGAGCAAUGUAUGGGGACUGCCCGAUGGAGGGGGGUCACUACUGGAAACGGUAGCUAAUACCGCAUACUAUCGGAUAACCCAUAUGGGAUUAGCUCGUAGGUGAGGUAAUGGCUCACCUAGGCGACGAUCCCUAGCUGGUCUGUGAGGAUGAUCAGCCACACUGGUACUGAGACACGGCCCAGACUCCUACGGAGGCAGCAGUGGGGAAUAAUGCACAAGGGGCGCAAGCCUGAUGCAGCCAUGCCGCGUGUAGGAAGAAGGCCCGAGGGUUGUAAAGAACUGUCAGUCGGGAGGCGUUACCGACAGAAGAAGCACCGGCGAACUACGCGCCAGCCGCCGCGGUAAUAC